rnacentral:tRNA from 1 species
CGCUCCGUAGUUCAGUGUGUUAGAGCAUCCGACCGGUGUACGGAAGGUCAUGGCUUCGAUUCCCGUCGGGGCCU